CACGUAGGGGGCGAGCGUUGUCCGGAUUUAUUGGGCGUAAAGAGCUCGUAGGCGGUUUCGUAAGUCGGAUGCGAAAACUCCAGGCUCAACUUGGAGACGCCAUUCGAUACUGCGAUGACUUGAGUCCGGUAGGGGAGUGUGGAAUUCCUGGUGUAGCGGUGAAAUGCGCAGAUAUCAGGAGGAACACCGGCGGCGAAGGCGGCACUCUGGGCCGGUACUGACGCUGAGGAGCGAAAGCGUGGGUAGCAAACAGG
rnacentral:rRNA from 1 species